rnacentral:rRNA from 1 species
UACAGAGGUCUCAAGCGUUGUUCGGAUUCAUUGGGCGUAAAGGGUGCGUAGGCGGCGCGGUAAGUCGGGUGUGAAAUUUCGGAGCUUAACUCCGAAACUGCAUUCGAUACUGGUGUGCUUGAGGACUGGAGAGGAGACUGGAAUUCAUGGUGUAGCAGUGAAAUGCGUAGAGAUCAUGAGGAAGACCAGUGGCGAAGGCGGGUCUCUGGACAGUUCCUGACACUGAGGCACGAAGGCCAGGGGAGCAAACGGG